rnacentral:misc_RNA from 1 species
UCCAAUUGCCAUUCCUCGCUUGCUCAACCAUUCACUAUUUACCAUUCACCAUUUACUGAAUAAAUAAUGGGCAGCCUCAGAGACGUCCUGGUCCCCGACAUCGGCGAUUUCAAGAACAUCCCGGUAAUCGAGGUCCUGGUCAAACCGGGUGAUACCGUCAAGGCGGAAGACUCGCUGAUCACGCUCGAAUCCGACAAAGCGACGAUGGAAGUUCCGGCACCUUUCGCCGGCGUGGUCAAGGAAAUGAAGAUCAAGCCCGGCGACAAGGUUUCGGAAGGCGCGCCGAUCCUCAGCCUGGAAGUCAGUGACGGCGCGCCUGCUCCCGCAACCGCCGCCCCGCCGAAGCCCGCCGCU